UACGUGGGGAGCAAGCGUUGCUCGGAAUUAUUGGGCGUAAAGCGCACGUAGGCGGCCAACUAAGUCAGACGUGAAAUCCCUCGGCUUAACCGGGGAACUGCAUCUGAUACUGGAUGGCUUGAGUUCGGGAGAGGGAUGCGGAAUUCCAGGUGUAGCGGUGAAAUGCGUAGAGAUCGGGAAGAACAUCGGUGGCGAAAGCGCUCUACUGGACCGCAACUGACACUCAGGGACGAAAGCUAGGGGAGCGAAUGGG
rnacentral:rRNA from 1 species